AGGGUCGACUGGAGGAAAAAAGAGAAGCUGCUUGUUUUGUUUGUUUUUUUCUCUUUCGGAACACGGAUCACAUAAUAAUAAUAAUAAUAAUAAUAAUAAUAAUAAUAAUAAUAAUAAUAAUAAUAAUAAUAAUAGCCAAAGAGAAUUGACUUAUUUUUAUUCUAAGGUGUGACUAUAACAUUUCCGCGCGUCUUGUGAUAGUUCAAUGGAAGAGACGGAAAACGAAAUGAAGCACUUUUACGCACGCUUAACGCACGAAGUUUACUAUUUACAGCAUGACGUACUGGUAGGUGUCAUCAUUGUUUUAGCUAAAAGUUUACUUAUUAACAUGUUUGCUGCUGAUAAAUCUGAGAUAACACACUCAUGAUCUGAUUACUUUCUGUUUGAUCUCUUUGAUGGUGUCGCGUAUUAUUAUAAGGACGCGGAAACUUCACGCCCACAAAACGACUUCUUAUCCAAUGUUGCGUUUGUGAACACAUUAUUUGAUCAUUUCGUGUUCGGGGUAUUUUUUUUCCACCCCCGUGUUAAAAAAAACGCGUGGGAAGUUACAGGAUGAUUCGUUGCACCUUACUAGGAAGUGAAGCACUUUGCACGGGAAGGGGAGGGACUCCAGGAAAUAAGUUCAGUGGCCACGUCUGAGAGCGCGUACUAAAUAGUAUGGGCAAAAAAAAAAAAAAAAAAGUACGCAACUGAGCAGAGUGCACACCAGACUGUUUAAUACGCAAGUAUGCAAGGUUGCUUAUUAAUUAGGCUUCUUAUUCAACUGCAAUACAUGCAUCAACUAAGUGACGUCUUCCGUGCAUUAGCCUAUAAAGUGAAGACUGGUUAUAACGCGUUAUAACAGCAGCACUCAUCUGAACCAAAGGCGAACUUUUUUUUUUUUUUUGUCGUCGUAGACGCAUCACCUAUUCUUUUUGAAGUCAAUACUGGCGCUAAGUUCUAUGUUUUAAGUGAUUUUUUUAGGAGGGCCGGCUUUGAAAGCGCAUGGCGGACGAUGCACCUUCCUUGUAGCGGAUUUUUAAAUAGUCUUCCUUGCGGCGGCUGGCGGGAGCGCGCGUGCUUUCACACACACACACACACACACACACACACACACACACACACACACACACACACACACACACAGAGAGAGAGAGAGAGAGAGAGAGAGAGAGAGAGAGAGAGAGAGAGAGAGAGAGAAGAAGAAGAUGCUGCUAGCCUUCGUAUUCAGGCGAACACCGGAGUCAUCUAUAAGGUGAUGACAACAUCGUUGAGAACGGACAUAGUGGCGACUAAAAAAGGUCAGAGGUCCUCAUGCUUAAAUGAUUGUUACUUAGUAGACAUUUGUAUUUUAUCUCUGCCUUUAGGAUUUGUGUAAAAUCAUCCAUUUUUUGCAAAAUAGAAUGUUGUGUUAUUAAUAUAUUAGAUAAGCAUAUGUGAUACAGCCUCCGAAAUGCGAUAACAGAAAAGAACAGUUUUAUUAUGAAGCUUUAUAUAUAUUAGGCUCAAUUUAUGACAUUGCAUUAUAGCAAUCAUCAUCAUCAUCAUCAUCAUCAUCAUCAUCACGUCAAACGCAUAUCAAUGCAUAUUUGUUAAAACUUUAAUUCCACCAUUAAAGGCAUCGACUUACAUCCGACCACUUCGACACUAUGUGCUAGCGUUUAUAAAGAAUCACUGUGUGAGAAUCACAACAACAUUUACUCUCAGGCUAUUUCUUAAAAAAAGCUCAGGAUCAGUGAUAGUGUGUUUAGUGUGAUCUGUACUCAGGGAUGUCGAAAUAAUCUUAAUCGAAAUAAACUACGAAGCAUUUGGGACACAGAACAUUGUACACGAGUGUAUUAGUAGCUAGAGUGAUGACAUAUUACAGUAUCUGUUUCAUACUAUAGUACCUUCACACCUGUUUAGUAGAGAUGGCACAAUACUAAUAUUAUUUUUUAUUUACCGAUAGCAUUACACAAACCUUGAUUAUCAGACCAUACCAAAAUCCAUCUGAUAGCUUUUAUUUUUAAUUUUUAUUUCUCCAAAACCAGCCUUUAUAGUCAAUCAUACAAAUAUCAUUUGCAUUGUAAGCAUAAUCAUUAUAAGAAAGUGUAAAUAAAAUAAAUAAAUAAAAAUGUAAAACUUUUUCUAGUAUAUAAUUUAGGUAUUAUUCCACUGACAAACGUGUAUUAAAUCUAUAUUUAUUUAAGAAUACUGUAUGAAGUAGAUUUCUUUAGCAAAAGCAUUCUGAAAAGCAGAACAGUUUUAGACCUGCGUUAUUUGUAGCAUUACUAUAUACAGUAAGUAUUUCAUUUGUUUUAAUAACCUUGGCUGGAACAUGGAAUUAAAUAUUAAACAUUUUAUAAAUAUUUAAUGAUGAUGUAGUUGAUGUAAGCAAAUAAAAGACAGAACAACAGGCAGAGGUAUUUAUUCAUUUGUAUACUGCAGCAUAAUAAUUCUGCUUCAUAGUAGUUUAUAGCUAAGUCCAGGUAGCACACAUUAAUAACAGUUUAGGUCACCUGGGACAGAAAUCCCUCCUAUCACACUUAAUAUACUUGAUUUAUGCACUUUUUUGAUCAUGAGAGAUUUAGAAAAGUUGUUCUAUUAUGUAGAAAAUCUCCAAACUUCAAUCAAAAGGUGGGCCAAAUGAGUUUCGUCGUCUCAUUGACAGGCUGAAACUAAAGCUAUAUGAUAAAAAAUAAAACAAUAAAGAGCAGCCUUAUGACGUGUAGCGAGGAUGAACUCGUGAGAUGAGAAUCCAUCAGAUAAGGGAGCAUAAUUAGAAUGUCAGCCUGCUCAGAAGAACGAGUCAGUGUGUGUGACCCAUCACUGCUUUACAUAACUCUCCGUAUCUCUCCUGUAGUUUAGUCCUGAAGUGCUGAUGAAGAACACACACAAAGUUCUUCAAGUAUGACACUUUAACCUUUCCAGGAAACACACAAACAGUUAACAUGUGGAUGGAUAUACAGAAAUGGCAGGUCCUCAACACAUUUAAAAUAAUGAUCCAAAAACAAUUGUGUAUUGUGUGUUUGUGGUUUUUGUUUGGGAAUUAGAUAAUUUGGCCUGUAUACUAAUGUAGUACUAUUUUAUGGAAUAAAUAUGCUUAUGGAAUAAAUAUCACUCUUCACAGUUUA